GCGCUUGUAGCUCAGCGGACUAGAGCGCGAGAUUCCGAAUCUCGAGGGCGGGGGUUCAAAUCCCCUCAAGCGCA
rnacentral:tRNA from 2 species